rnacentral:lncRNA from 1 species
AGCUGCCAGGGCUGCGUGUGAUUAGUCAGCCCUGAUGCUGAGCUCUGCAGAUUAAUGUGUUCCUCUCCCCCCAUUACAUCCCUUCUCCACGAGGCAGUCUAUCUCUUGCAUCAGUAAUGACCAGCUGCAGAGCCUCAGGGUUUUCUCUAGCUACUUUUAACUGAUCUAGAACUUAUUUUUUCCAUGCUCUGCCUUUUCCUUGAUUGGUAAAUUCCCCAAUGUCUUUAAUCAAGCUGUGUUGAGCCUAGCAGUUCUGGCAAGUUUUCUUUUGUUUUAAUAAAAGGCAUUUAAUAAAAGCUGGGAGAAAUGUUUCAAGUAAACAGACUUUGGAAAAAUUCACUGAAGAGGGAAUAUCAGAGCUUGAUAUGAGUUUGGUCAGAUGGAACCAUCAGGAAAUUUGACCUGAAUUCAGGGAUAGCUUCUGGACAAGAGAAAAUGCAUUUCUUGGAAUGCCUGUCAGGCAGCACCAGAACUGGCCAGGACAAUGCUCCAGCUCCUCUUGGGAGCUGCUGUGGUGGAUGUGGCCCUGCAGAGAUCCCUGCUGGCUCAAGAGGAGGAGGAGGGGAUAUCCUGAAUAAUUGAACUGAGGGCUCCCCUGGAGCAGAACCUGGGCAGGCUGUGGAGCUCUGGCAAGCUCUCCUGGCUCACAAGAGCACAGCAGGAUUUGGCCCAUUUUUUGUCUUCCUCUGGUGUUUCUACAAUGUAAGAAACAUUGUUCUCCGAGCUGCUCUGAAUCUGUGGAGUUAAGAAGAUGUUGCAAAUAAGUCUUAUUUCCCUGUACAGCAUGGAACUAAUGCUCAACAUCCAGUUGCCAGAGAACAAAGUUCUUCCUCAGGAAUAAUGGACAAUGGAGAAGCCAAAAAUACAAUUAAAAACUAUUUGGCAAUAUACCAUAUUUUUACUUUGUCUCAAGCCUUCAUCCUAUGAUUGCCUUGAUAGAGGUGUAGAGCACAGAAUAAAAUGAUGGAAUGGGAAAGGAGCA